rnacentral:rRNA from 1 species
GACGUAGGGCGCGAGCGUUGUCCGGAUUUAUUGGGCGUAAAGGGCGCGUAGGCGGCUUAACAAGUCACUUGUGAAAUCGUCCGGGCUUAACUCGGAACGGCCAAGUGAAACUGUCAAGCUAGAGUGCGGAAGGGGCAAUCGGAAUUCUUGGUGUAGCGGUGAAAUGCGUAGAUAUCAAGAGGAACACCUGAGGUGAAGACGGGUUGCUGGGCCGACACUGACGCUGAUGCGCGAAAGCCAGGGGAGCAAACGGG